rnacentral:rRNA from 1 species
GAUGAACGCUAGCGGCAGGCCUAACACAUGCAAGUCGAGGGGGAAGCCCUUUCGGGGGCAGAAACCGGCGCACGGGUGCGUAACGCGUAUGCAACCUACCUUUCACAGGGGGAUAGCCCGAAGAAAUUUGGAUUAAUACCCCAUAAUAUUAUUGGAUGGCAUCAUUUGAUAAUUAAAACUGCGGUGGUGAAAGAUGGGCAUGCGUCCUAUUAGCUAGUUGGAGUGGUAACGGCACCCCAAGGCUACGAUAGGUAGGGGUCCUGAGAGGGAGAUCCCCCACACUGGUACUGAGACAGGGACCAGACUCCUACGGGAGGCAGCAGUGAGGAAUAUUGGUCAAUGGUCGGAAGACUGAACCAGCCAUGCCGCGUGCAGGAAGAAUGCCUUAUGGGUGGUAAACUGCUUUUAUAUGGGAAGAAUAAGGCGUACGUGUACGUUGAUGACGGUACCAUAUGAAUAAGCAUCGGCUAACUCCGUG